GGCUGUAGCUCAGUGGUAGAGGGCUUGCCUAGCAUGCAUGAGGUGCUGGGUUCCAUCCCCGGAACCA
rnacentral:tRNA from 1 species